rnacentral:rRNA from 1 species
AUUGAACGCUGGCGGCCUGCUUAACACAUGCAAGUCGAGCGAGCGGCGGACGGGUGAUUAAUGUCUGGGAAACUGCCUGAUGGAGGGUGAUCACUACUGGAAACGGUAGCUCAUACCGCAUACCAUCAGCUGUGCCCAGAUGGGAUUAGCUAGUAGGUGUGGUAAUGGCUCACGUAGGCGACGAUCCCUAGCUGGUCUGAGAGGGUGACCAGGCAAACGGGAACAGAGACACGGUCAAGACGCCUAGGGGAGGCAGCAGGGGGGAAGAUUGGAAAAUGGGAGAAAGCCUGAUGCAGCCAUGCCGCGUGUGGGAAGAGGGACUUAGGGUUGUAAAGCAGUAUCAGCGAGGAGGCGGUACUCGCAGAAGAAGCACCGGCUAACUCCGUGCCAGCAGCCGCGGUAAUAC